UUUCCCUCCUGGAAUUCCUAAUAAGUUGUGAUGUUUAUAGCUGUUAUUUUUUAUAGGUGAGUGUGAUAAAACUACGUACUUGUUAAAUAGACAGACAUCCAUUAUAUAUAUAUAUACUGUAUAUAUGUAUAUAUAUAUAUAUAUAUAUAUAUAUAUAUAUAUAUAUAUAUAUAUAUAUAUAUAUAUAUAUAUAUAUAUAUAUAUAUAUAUAUAUAUAUAUAUAUAUAUAUACCUGUAAUAUGUUAUCCGCACACACUUAAUUGACGAAACCUCCACUAUGAUCUCAAGCUGUCUAGCAUAUCUUUUUUAAUCUGUAAUUUGUAAAAAUGGUUCCAUGUUGCAAAUUAUUCCUUUUCCAAAGCUUAACUGAUAAUAUUUUCUGAAAUGCUUGGUUAUGAAGAAAAUCAUGCAAUUUUAAAGACGUUUUCGAACGGUUACUAGACCCCCUAUGAUAUGAAAAAAUGUUACAGGGAAAAUAUUUUCAUAUUAUUUUGAGAAUAAUCAUAUGUGGAAACCUGAAUAUAAUUCCUAAUGCACUGCGUCAAAACUUGUACUUGUAUUUUCCUCAAAGAUUCGAAAGUUAUCCGCAGACGGAGAGAACAUGCUAGGUUAACUGCCACGCUAGCAGUCAGCAAGUUUCUCUAGCGGGCAGCAGGCAUUCCGUUCCUCACAAACGGGCAGAAUCGAUCGUAAUUUUAUAGCAUAUAUGAAAAUAACCUGAUAGACCUAGUUAAAAUGUACGUUGUUCAUCUUUUUUAAGGAAAUAUGAUGAUGCAUUGGACAGUCUGUGAUUUAACAGGGGAAUUCUUGUUGCUGCGUGCGUUUUCCUGUAGCAAUGUAUACAUUGUUAUAAAUGUAAAACGUUUGGGGUACAUUUAUUAUUACUGAUUAUCAAAAACAACACAUAUCAAACAAGAGAAAUUAGGUUUUCAAAAUACACAUUGCAAAUGUCACGAUAUGUUUGGUCCAAUGCAUACGGAUUUAGUCCUGGCUGAAUAUCAAUACAAAUGUAAAUAGAG